GUUUUAGAUAAUUUUGCUUUCUCGUCCUAAGGUACAGAGGUACGAAGUCAGACAAUCAAGUGGCAACUGAACACGGUUAAUGGAGACUUGAAAUUCUUCCGAGCCCUUCCGCUCAGGAGGCAGCUCCAGGCUGGGCAUGGUGGAGAGGGGCCACCGUGAUGAGCAAACAGCCCUGGAGAAGUGAGAGAGGCUGCACCCCGCCUGCCUGCUGAGAACACCCAUGCAGACGUUGGCCAGUGCCUGGGGGCUGGGCUCUCUCACAUGCCUCACGCAUGCGAUCGGCCGGUUUUCCUUACAGAUCCAAGAAGCAGCUACUGAGGACUACACAUGUUGCAGGCCAUAGAUGCCCUACGCUGGACCCUUCCACGUACAGAUUUGGAUCCAUGGGCCCCCAAGCCGGUCACAGUGUUCACCAGAUUUUGCAGAUGGGAAAAGGCGGAGCUGCAGGAGGCCAGGUGACACGCCAAGGUCCUGUGGCCAGGUAUUACACCUAGG
rnacentral:lncRNA from 1 species